rnacentral:lncRNA from 1 species
AUUUUUUUAAAUGUGUCUUACAAGUCAAACAGUGAUUGGGACUAAUACACAAAUCAGUCGUCUACUGCUCAUAACAACGUUUAGAUACAUGCAAACCCUGACGAAGUUAAAUUUAUAAGUGAAUGCGUCUCUUUUAUCUGAAAUUAGAAAUUGACCCCAUAUUACAAGUCAUCACAAUGGCACAUAAAUUCCCCUGAGAUGCUGCUGUUCAAGCCAAUUUGGUUUGCUAUACUAGUCUUCAGAGUUGUCACAGUAUUCCAAGAUAACUGCAGCGGCUACAGACACUGAUCAAGAUAGGACAAAGAGGAACAGCCACAGGCCACAAAAUGCCUUGAGCCACAGAAGUUGGCAGAAACAAGAAAGGAAGCUUCAGAAGAUCCUUCAGAGGGAGUACAGCCCUGCCAACACCUUGACUUUGGACAUCUUGCCUCUAGACCUCUCCUGAAUCCCAGGCCAUGAGCUUCCACCUUUGAGGAGAGAAAAGGAGCAUUUGCCUGAAGUCCUGGUCCUAAUCUCCUAAAGUGCACAUUGAAUAAUAGGAAGCUCUUGACAAAAGAGAAAGACAAGAGAGGUGACAAAUAUGGCCUACAAAACAGGAAAGGAAAACUAAUCACAAGUGCUGUCAGCCCUACCGAGGUCCUGAGUCGCACAGAACACGCCAGAUCACCCCGCUGCAGACAGGCAGGUCUGCCCACGCCCUACCAAGAUCCUGAGUCGCAUAGAACACGCCGAAUCAGCCCACUACAGACAGGCAGGUCUGUGCACGCCCUAGCGAGGUCCUGAGUCACCCAGAAGAUGCCAGAAUCAGCCUGCUGCAGACAGGCAGGUCUGUGCAUGCGCUACCGAGGUCCUGAGUCACACAGAACACGCUUAAUCAGCCCGAUGCAGACAGGCAGGUCUGUGCAUGCCCUACCGAGAUCCUGAGUCAUGCAGAAGAUGCCGAAUCACCCCACUGCAGACAGGCAGCCACUUGGUUCCAUACUACAAAGAUGCAGAGGACACCAGACCACCAGACCAAGGUACUGAGUCCCACGGUUCCCGGCCGAGAGGUAGGGGCAUCUGAGCCGCCGUCCCACUGCUCCUGGUCCAG